UGGCUUUGGUGGGAAGUAUGAACUUGGAUUUGGUUAACAAAUUGACAAAGCCAGAUGGGAGCCUUGCUGCUGGUGGGCAGUCAGUCUCAGCUGGGGAAUUUUCAGGUAAGACCUUAAUCAGGGCUGCUUGCCCUGAGGGUCUUCCCUUCAAGAUUACCAAAAUGGAACUGGCGGCCCCAGGGCGUGGCAAUGGGAGCCGGGAAUAUCCUGGGAAUAUCCAGGAAAUAUGGACUCAGUACAGUAGGGCAUGUUCUUUGCCACUAGGGCCACCUGGGAAGCAUCCUGUUGGAAAGAGAAAAUAGUUCUUGGACUUCUACCUGAUUUGUGAACAGACUAAUGUCAAAUGGAGGAAAGGAACAACAGCAACAACAAAAAACCUAUCUGUUUUUGUCUGAAAGCAGGAUAUUCUCAGGGAGAAGAUAAAGUUUCCACUUGGUUCCUAAAAUCACCCAAAACCCCAUCCCAG